AAUGUAGUUCAUUUCUUGAUCUUCUAGUUAGAAGAACCAGUAGGUUAACAAUUAGAAAAAUGCAGGAGAUAUUAUACUUAGUGAGAGGAAGUAGAAAUGGUAGGUAGAUUCUAAGAGGUUUUAACAGCUAGUAUUAAUUGUUGGAUCAUGUUCUGUGAUUGUAAGAAAGCUCUAGAACAGUGUUUAUGGAGACAGUGAUUAUUGAUUUGCAUUUCACCCCUAAAGCAGAAACUUUAGUAAAAUGAUCUUGACCUAGUGAAGGAUCUAACCCAUUACAUGGCAUACCUAGGAACUAUCACCAUGAACCUCGAAUAUUUCAGCUAGGUUUUGACCUCCAAAGUCAAGUGACUAAAGGGUAGAAGGUUUUUCAAAAACAGUAAUCAGAUAUAGGGGUCUUUAUUGAUACCUAUAGAGAGAUAAUAAAGAUAUGGGAGGAAGAAUCUGUUUGAAAGUGUUUGUCACAGGAAAAACGUAUAAAUCUGUUCCAACCAAGACCUGACACUGUGCUCAAUUGAGUGUAGGGCCACAUAC
rnacentral:lncRNA from 1 species